CGAGUUGACCAGGCAGUCGCUGUGUUGAUUUCUCUGAUGUUCGCUUGCGAUCAUUAAGGGUGCAACGCGGAGGAAAGUCCGGGCUCCACAGGGUAGAGUGCCAGGUAACACCUGGGAGGCGAAAGCCUACGGCCAGUGCAGCAGAGAGAAGACCGCCGAUGGUUCGUUCGCGAACACAGGUAAGGGUGAAAGGGUGCGGUAAGAGCGCACCGCGCUGCUGGUAACAGUAGUGGCAAGGUAAACCCCACUCGGAGCAAGACCAAAUAGGUUUCCAUAUGGCGCGUCCCGCGUUGGGAACGGGUAGGUUGCUUGAGGCAAACGGCGACGUUUGUCCCAGAUGAAUGACUGUCCAAGACAGAACCCGGCUUAUCGGUCAACUCACCUA
rfam:marine gamma proteobacterium HTCC2207 scf_1099215844477 genomic scaffold, whole genome shotgun sequence.